GAUGAACGCUGGCGGCGUGCUUAACACAUGCAAGUCGAACGAAGCACUUUAUUUUAUUUCCUUCGGGACUGAUUAUUUUGUGACUGAGUGGCGGACGGGUGAGUAACGCGUGGGUAAGCUGCCUUGUACAGGGGGAUAACAGUUGGAAACGGCUGCUAAUACCGCAUAAGCGCACAGCAUCGCAUGAUGCAGUGUGGAAAACUCCGGUGGUAUAAGAUGGACCCGCGUUGGAUUAGCUGGUUGGUGAGGUAACGGCCCACCAAGGCGACGAUCCAUAGCCGAGCUGGGAGGGUGACCGGCCACAUUGGGAAUACGACACAGCCCAAACUCCGACGGGAGGCUGCAGUGGGGAAUAUUGCACAAUGGGCGAAAGCCUGAUGCAGCGACGCCGCGUGAGCGAAGAAGUAUUUCGGUAUGUACAGCUGUAUCAGAAGGGAAGAUAAUGACGGUACCUGACUAAGAAGCACCGGCUAAAUACGUG
rnacentral:rRNA from 1 species